GGGGAUAUAGCUCAGUUGGCUAGAGCACCUGCUUUGCAAGCAGGGGGUCCAGGGUUCGAGUCCCUGUAUCUCCACCA
rnacentral:tRNA from 5 species